GAAAAGCAAGGAGUGGGGAUACGGGCCACGCGGGAAAGCGAGCAGGCCGUUACGGCUUCCGUCAGCAGCUUUGGUGGGGACCGUAACGGAGUCGGCCGCCGGGCAAACGGCGUUUAGGCGACGUGCUGUUGGGGGCCCCCGACCCCGACGGCCCAUCACGUCCCAGUCCCGUGACCGUGAAUCUGCUGCCCAUCGCUCAGAAGAUGGGUAGUGCCCCCAACCAUUCUCUGUACCCGGCGCAUACAUACAUACAUACAUCUCCGGCUGCACGUAGGUGUCCAAAAUUAUAUAUAAUUUUUAGGAUAAACUUCAAAUACCAUCUGACCCCCGGUUUCACACUUUCUCACUUUAUAAUAAUAUUUUGUGAUUGAAAAUGUAUCAAUCUAGUGCCACACGAUUUCAUUUUUCUCUUUUCGUCAGCCCCUCCCUUCGUUAAAUCAUAUAUACAAAGAACUUCAGACGGUAUUUCAGCUACAGUUUAUUGAAUAUUCACUUUAGUACUCUUUAGUUUUUUAACUUUGUCAAUGAUUUAACGAAAAAAAUUAGUGAAAAAAAUAACAAAAAGAGAAAAAUAAAAUCACACGGUACGAAAGUAAAAAAAGUGCGAAAUCACACAAAGGUGAUAUUCAAAGUUUUCUAAUUUUUAAAACAAAUGCCGGAUAAAAAAUGUAUUUUUUAUUAUACAUAAUAUUUUAAAUAAUGUAACGAUGCUUGGGUAAAAUAAAAUGUACGAAUCAGGUUAAUUUGAGUAAGGUCAAAUUUAGAUUAAGUUACUCGAUUCAUCAAUUUGUGAGUAAUAAGUUGAAGUACUAAAAUUAGCUUAGUAAAUAAUGAACUAGGCUAAUAUACUAUUAAUAGCACCAAGUCAUCGGCGCUACCAAAUUUUUAGCCAUUAGAUUAUAAGAUGUGAGGUUAGAAUGAUGUGGGCCUCGUAGGGUUGAGUGGGUGGAUGGUUCAAUGGUAUGAUGUAACUGGUGAAAAAGAUCAAAAGGGUAGAUCCAACGGCGAAAAACUUGAUAGUACCAAAUGCUUCAUCCUAUUAAUAGUAUAGUAGCCGGACUCGUAAAUAAUACAGUACAUUUGCAUGUAGAUU
rnacentral:lncRNA from 1 species